AGAUACCCUGUUUUCUAUAUUUAAAAGUUUAGUGGAAAAAGCUAGAGUAGUAAGAAUUAAUGGGUUUAAAAUUCAAAGAGUUUGGCGGUAUUUUAGUCCAGUUAGAGGAACCUGUUUUAUAAACGAUAAUCCUCGUAGAAUCUUUCUUGCUUUUAUAUAGUUAGUAUACCUUCAUUAUUAGAUGAUUUUUGAUAUAAAUUAUUGUAAUUGACCUAAAUCAAAGAUAUUAGAUCACGGUGCUGCUGAUAAGCAAGUAUAAAUGGGUUACAAUAAAAUUGAGUUAGACGGAUCUAUUAAAGAAAAUAAUAGUAAAGGUGGAUUUAAUUGUAAUGCGGGUUUAAUAAGCCUGCUUGAUAAAGGCUCUAAAAUGGUACAUAU
rnacentral:rRNA from 1 species